rnacentral:rRNA from 1 species
GACGAACGCUGGCGGCGUGCCUAACACAUGCAAGUCGAACGAGGAACCUCGUCGGAGGGGCUCAUGGGCGAACGGGUGGGGAGCACGUGGGCAACUCGACCCCGUCUCUGUGAGAACUCCAAAAUAUUGGGGCAAAUACCCUAUUUUCACCGCUUCUCUCGUGGGUGGUGGUGGAAAGGUUUUCCGGGGUGGGAUGGGCCCGCGUCCUAUCGGCUUGUUCGGGGGGUAGGGGCCUUCCAAGGCAACGAGGGGUAGCCGGCCUGGGAGGGUGGCCGGCCACGAUGCGACUGAGACACGACCCAGACUCCAACCGGACGCAACGGUGGAGAGUAUUACGCAAUGGGGGGGAGCCUGACGUGACGGCGCCGCGUGGGGGAUGACGUGCUUCGGGUUGUGAACAAAUGUCAGCAGGGAUGAGGAGAUAGUGACGGUACCUGCAGAAGAAGCCCCGGCUAACUACGUG